UCCCCCUCCCAAGUCUACCCCAUCUCAUAGGUUCACUUCCUUGGGAAAAGAACAAGUCACUUAAGGAAGAAGCCAGAGGGAAAAAAAAGAUGAAGAGCAUGUCACACAUAUACCUUCACUGUGUGUAAUUGAAUAUUUUACAAGCCUGGGCAAGAAGGAAAUCAUAUAAUCUCCAAGUACAUCUAGUCCAAACUAUACUUGACCAGGAAUCCCCUCUCUAACGCCUAAGCCAGGGACUAUCCAGACUCAUCUUAAAGAUCAUCACUGAUGGGGAACUCAUUAUCUUUUCUUACUUUCAGAUAGGCUGUGUUCUUUGGGAAGUUUUUCUUAAGAUAUAACUUAUAUCUUCUUUCCUGUACCUCCCCCACCCAUCCCUUUCCUGGUUCUGUCCUCUUAGGCCAAGCAGAAUUAAGUUUGAAGCCUUUUCCAUGUACUGGUGUACAAAUACUUGGAAUUAACUAAGUCCUGCUUCCCAAAUUCAAGUCAUCCCCUUUUCAAGACAAACAGGUUUCAUUCCCUCAGUCCUUUCACGCUGAGCAAGGACUGCAGUCUCAUUAAUAUCCUGAAGCAGCUAAAUGGCAUAGUAAGUAGAGUGCUGUGUCUAAAGUCAGAAAGCAAAGUAAAUCACAAGAGGUAAAAGUCAAGUACCAGGAGGCACCACCAGCACACAGCUAGCUACAAAGGCUGAGAGUCAAGACAGAUCCUUGGUCUGAUGGGAUUAAAGAAAAACACAGGAGUUGUGGGAAAAUUGAAUCUGAUCAGUUUUCAUCAAGGGAUUUCUCCAUGAAAGACUGCCUCAGGAAUCAGAUUCCACCUUGACCUUAAUCUCAAUUCUUCUGA